rnacentral:rRNA from 1 species
UACGUAGGUGGCAAGCGUUGUUCGGAAUUAUUGGGCGUAAAGAGUGCGUAGGCGGUUUUCUAAGUUUGGUGUGAAAUCUCCCGGCUUAACUGGGAGGGUGCGCCGAAGACUGGAAGGCUUGAGUAUGGGAGAGGUAAGCGGAAUUCCUGGUGUAGCGGUGAAAUGCGUAGAUAUCAGGAGGAACACCUGCGGUGUAGACGGCUUACUGGACCAUCACUGACGCUGAGGCACGAAAGCGUGGGUAGCAAACAGG